GGGAAGAGCUCAAAUUUGUAAUCUGGCACCUUCGGUGUCCGAGUUGUAAUCUCUAGAAGUGUUUUCCGCGUUGGACCGCACACAAGUCUGUUGGAAUACAGCGGCAUAGUGGUGAUACCCCAUUACACGGUGCGGACGCCCAGCGCUUUGUGAUACACUUUCGACGAGUCGAGUUGUUUGGGAAUGCAGCUCAAAUUGGGUGGUAAAUUCCAUCUAAAGCUAAAUAUUGGCGAGAGACCGAUAGCGAACAAGUACCGUGAGGGAAAGAUGAAAAGCACUUUGGAAAGAGAGUUAAAAGUACGUGAAAUUGUUGGAAGGGAAACGCUUGAAGUCAGACUUGCUUGCCGGGCUUGCUCGGUUUGCAGGCCAGCAUCAGUUUUCCGGGGCGGAUAAUGGCAGUUAGAAUGUAGCAGUCUCGGCUGUGUUAUAGCUUUCUGCUGGAUACGUCCUGGGGGACUGAGGAACGCAGCGUGCCGUAUGGCGAGGGCUUCGGUCCUUUCACGCUUAGGAUGCUGGUGGAAUGGCUUUAAACGACCCGUCUU
rnacentral:rRNA from 1 species